GAUGAACGCUAGCUACAGGCUUAACACAUGCAAGUCGAGGGGAAACGACAUCGAAAGCUUGCUUUUGAUGGGCGUCGACCGGCGCACGGGUGAGUAACGCGUAUCCAACCUGCCCAUCACUUGGGAAUAACCUUGCGAAAGUAAGACUAAUACCCAAUGAUAUCCCACGAAGGCAUCGGAAUGGGAUUAAAGAUUUAUCGGUGAUGGAUGGGGAUGCGUCUGAUUAGCUUGUUGGCGGGGUAACGGCCAACCAAGGCAACGAUCAGUAGGGGUUCUGAGAGGAAGGUCCCCCACAUUGGAACUGAGACACGGUCCAAACUCCUACGGGAGGCAGCAGUGAGGAAUAUUGGUCAAUGGGCGAGAGCCUGAACCAGCCAAGUAGCGUGCAGGAAGACGGCCCUAUGGGUUGUAAACUGCUUUUAUAAGGGAAUAAAGUGGGUCACGUGUGACUUUUUGCAUGUACCUUAUGAAUAAGGACCGGCUAAUUCCGUG
rnacentral:rRNA from 1 species